GACCGGAUCGACACGAGGAAACCAAGCCAAAUUUCUCUCAGUUCUUCUAGUGGCCGGUUUGAGAAGGGCUGCCACGAGAGGAGUAUUUUUUUUUAUUUCGCGCCUGCGCCUCCCUUCGACUGCUACAAAAUCAUUCUCUUGACGGCAGGCAUCGCUCGACGAGAUGUCUUACUGUACCCGAAUUAUUAAGAGCCAGAGGCUCGCCGUUUUUGCGGCGGAUAUUCAACAAAGAUGCUUCAGCGUCAGCCCCUUGAGCUUCGCCGCUCAAAAAGUGGCGAUGUCCAAAUUCGACUCGAGCAGUUACCUUCCUUAUGAUAAGCUGGAGGAAAAUCUUAAAAUCGUCAAGAAGAGAUUGAACCGGCCACUGACCCUGUCCGAGAAAGUUUUGUACUCCCAUCUCGACGAACCCAACAAGCAAGAAAUUGUUCGUGGUACAAGCUACCUCAGACUGCGACCUGAUCGUGUGGCGAUGCAGGAUGCCACUGCUCAGAUGGCCAUGUUGCAAUUUAUCAGUUCCGGAUUGCCCAAAGUGGCAGUGCCCUCCACAAUCCACUGCGAUCACUUGAUCGAAGCGCAGAUCGGCGGCGAGCAGGAUUUAAAACGCGCGAAGGAUAUCAACAAAGAGGUCUACAACUUCCUGAAGACCGCCGGCGCCAAAUACGGCGUAGGUUUUUGGAACCCGGGUUCCGGUAUCAUUCACCAGAUCAUCCUGGAGAACUACGCGUUUCCGGGUCUGCUGAUGAUCGGUACCGACUCGCACACACCAAACGGAGGCGGUCUGGGUUGUCUCUGCAUCGGUGUGGGUGGUGCCGACGCUGUCGACGUGAUGGCCAACAUACCAUGGGAACUGAAAUGCCCUAAAGUCAUCGGGGUCAAACUGACCGGAACCCUGAAGGGUUGGACCAGCCCUAAGGACGUGAUUCUGAAGGUGGCUGGUAUCUUAACUGUGAAGGGUGGCACUGGAGCCAUCGUCGAGUACUUUGGACCCGGUGUGGACAGCAUCAGCUGUACCGGUAUGGCCACCAUUUGCAACAUGGGUGCCGAAAUCGGCGCCACCACCUCCAUCUUCCCGUACAAUUACCGUAUGCAGGACUACCUCAAGGCUACCAAUCGUAAGGAAAUCGCUGGAGCUGCCGAUCAACAUAAGGAGACCCUUCUCACUGCCGAUUCUGGGGCCAAGUAUGAUCAGAUCAUCGAGCUGGAUCUUUCGACCUUGGAACCACAUGUUAAUGGACCCUUCACACCGGAUCUUGCACAUCCCAUCUCUAAAUUGGGUGACGCUGCCAAGAAGAAUGGCUGGCCAAACGAGAUCAAGGUCGGCCUCAUUGGUUCCUGCACAAACAGCUCGUACGAGGACAUGGGUCGUUGCGCGAAUAUCGCGAAACAGGCUCUCGAACACGGAUUGAAAGCGAAAUCUGCAUUCAAUGUGACGCCAGGAUCCGAGCAAAUUCGUGCCACCAUCGAACGUGACGGAAUCGCGAAAAUCCUUCGUGAUUUCGGCGGCACCGUUCUGGCCAACGCUUGUGGACCUUGCAUCGGUCAAUGGGACCGUAAAGAUAUCAAGAAAGGAGAUAAGAACACCAUCGUCACAUCGUACAAUCGUAAUUUCACUGGUCGUAACGACGCCAAUCCAGCUACGCACGCUUUCGUUACGAGCCCCGAACUUGUCACUGCCCUGUCGAUCGCCGGCCGAUUAGAUUUCAAUCCAGUCUCUGAUAAACUUAAGGGGAAAGAUGGCAAGGAAUUCCUUCUCAAGGAUCCUUAUGGUGAUGAGCUUCCAAACAAAGGUUUCGACCCAGGAAUGGACACCUACGACGCGCCGCCCUCAGACGGCAGCAGGGUCAAGGUCGACGUGAGCCCAUCGAGCGAAAGAUUGCAGCUACUCGAACCCUUCGACAAAUGGGACGGCAAAGACCUCACCGACCUCACAGUUUUGAUCAAAGUCAAAGGAAAGUGCACCACUGACCACAUCUCUGCCGCUGGCCCCUGGCUCAAAUACCGUGGACACUUGGACAACAUCUCCAACAACAUGUUUAUCGGUGCCGUGAACUCUGAGAACGGAGAAAUGAACAAAGUGAAGAACCAGCUAACCAACGAAUGGGGAAAAGUACCCGACGUAGCCCGCCACUACAAGAAGAACGGUGUGAAAUGGGUGGCCGUUGGUGACGAAAACUACGGAGAGGGAUCCUCUCGGGAGCACGCUGCCUUGGAACCACGACAUCUUGGUGGAAGAGCGAUCAUCGUGAAGAGCUUCGCUCGUAUCCAUGAAACUAACCUGAAGAAACAAGGAUUGUUACCUCUCACCUUCGCUAAUCCUAGUGAUUAUGACAAGAUUCAGCCCACGGAUAAGAUCAGCCUUCUGGGAUUGAAGGAUCUUGCGCCUGGCAAACCCGUAAAGGCGGAGAUCAAGCACAAAGACGGCAAGGUGGACACCAUCUCCCUAAACCACACCAUGAACGAGCAGCAGAUAUCCUGGUUCAAGGCAGGAUCUGCUCUGAACCGCAUGAAGGAGAUCGCCAGCGGACAGUAAACGCGAACAAUCCAGGAAAAGUCUCGUUCGAGGGAGGCGUGCACGAUAUUUCGUAGUAGUUUCACUUGAAACUAAUCGUGAACGUCUUGAGGAUGCGCUCGCAGGGCAGCGUUUCGAAGGAGAGGAUUUAAACGAGAACGUCCAUCGAUACACCUCAGGGUGCGCGUGUACCGUUUUUUUCGUGACAAUAUCUCAGCAGUCGUCUGCGAUGACGAUCGAGUCGGGUAACAUACAUUGUCUAGCGAAAGAUGUUCAUAGGACGCGUAUAAUCUUAGACGAUACGUUUUAGAGAGUAUUCCAGUUCGAGGAUGAGGAAACGCAGGAAAACGAGGAUUCCGCCGACGGCAGGAUCUAAGGAGCAAUCUGGACGUGCCAAAUGUGUUCAUUUUUUGAAAAAUCGUGUACAGCCCGCCAAUGGCACGUCGAGAUUGCACGAUUUUGUCGCUGCGCGAGCUUCCUUCUGGCUCCGAGCUUCUGUGUAUAUAAUUGUUCACGAUGUAGAAUGCAUCAUGGUUAUUUUCUAGACUGAUUCUACUGCUGUUGUCAAAUAAACGAUCACAGCGAA
rnacentral:misc_RNA from 1 species